rnacentral:rRNA from 1 species
AUUGAACGCUGGCGGCAGGCCUAACACAUGCAAGUAGAGCGAGCGGCGGACGGGUGAGUAAUGUGUGGGAAAAUGCCUGAUGGAGGGGGAGAACUACUGGAAACGGUAGCUAAUACCGCAUACCAUCAGAUGUGCCCCGAUGGGAUUAGCUCGUAGGUGGGGUAACGGCGCACCUAGGGGACGAUCCCUAGCUGGUCUGAGAGCAUGACCAGCCACACUGGAACGUAGACACGGUCCAUACUCCUACGGGAGGCAGCAGUGGGGAAUCUUGCACAAUGGGCGCAAGCCUUAUGCAGCCAUGCCGCGUGUGUGAAGAAGGCCUUCGGUUUGUAAAGCACUUUCAGCGGGGAGGCGUUACCCGCAGAAGAAGCACCGGCUAACUCCGUGCCAGCAGCCGCGGUAAUAC